GGGAACAAUGAAGACCAUAGCUUAGCUAAAAAUGUGCUUGCGUUGGUGAUAUCACAUGAAAGUGAAUGCUUUUAGGGAGGACAGCAAAAUAAUGAUUGAUGGGAAAUUGAUUUUUUUAUUUGAUUGUAUGCAAAUUGUUGUCAAAUUAAACAACCAAGUAAGUCUUUCAGUAUUCGCCUCGCUCCAACAAAUGUGUCUGUGAGCGAGCCGGUCCACACGUCAUGCCCAAAUGUUAUGUGAUAAUAGCAGCUGUGUUCCUUUGCCAAUGAGAUGAUCGGCUAAGCUCGGGGAAGCUCCAAAGCCACUUUCAAGUGGUGGCUGCUGGACUGAAAUCAAGUCCUGCUAUGUCGCUGUUUGUCGUUCGCUUCCCACUAUACCGUCGAUUGUUUGCCGAUCGUUGAUGGCUUUUUAACCGUGUAUGCAUAGAGAUGCGGCAUAUUUAAGAGAAGAGAAAAAGAGGCAGAGAAGGUCCCCACCAAAGCUGUUUAGUAGAUAGAGCAUUUAUAUCCCUGUGCUCUCUCAGUGAAACAGAGUUGAGAAACGCCCGCAUCCCCACUGCACUCAAGCAAAAGUCAACAGGUAAGCAGAGCUGCAUCCCUACCUUACAGCGCAGGCACGAGUGCUGGCCCAGUCUGUUACAGGAAACGCCUACAUCGGAACACGGUAGAAAAAAAAAAAGUGAAAAAUUCAUUGAGGUGAUUGCUUGCCUCUUUCGAAAUA